AGAUUGAACGCUGGCGGCAUGCCUUACACAUGCAAGUCGAACGGUAACAGGGAGCUUGCUCCGCUGACGAGUGGCGAACGGGUGAGUAAUACAUCGGAACGUGCCCAGUAAUGGGGGAUAGCUCGGCGAAAGCCGGAUUAAUACCGCAUACGCCCUGAGGGGGAAAGUGGGGGAUCGCAAGACCUCACGUUAUUGGAGCGGCCGAUGGCUGAUUAGCUAGUUGGUAGGUAAGGCCUACCAAGGCGACGAUCAGUAGCUGGUCUGAGAGGACGAUCAGCCACACUGGGACUGAGACACGGCCCAGACUCCUACGGAAGGCGAGACAGUGGGGAAUUUUUAGGACAAAGUGGGGGAAAACCCCUGGAUCCCAGCAAUGCCGCGUGUGCGAAGAAGGCUUCGGGUUGUAAGCACUUUGUACAGGAAGAAAUAGUUUAGGUUAAUACCC
rnacentral:rRNA from 1 species